rnacentral:rRNA from 1 species
UACAGAGGUGGCAAGCGUUGUUCGGAAUUACUGGGCGUAAAGGGCGCGUAGGCGGUCCCAUAAGUCCCGCGUGAAAUCCCCCGGCUCAACCGGGGAACUGCGCGGGAAACUGCGGGGCUUGAGUUCGGGAGAGGGAAGCGGAAUUCCGGGUGUAGCGGUGAAAUGCGUAGAUAUCCGGAGGAACACCGGUGGCGAAGGCG